rnacentral:rRNA from 1 species
AACGAACGCUGGCGGCAUGCCUAAUACAUGCAAGUCGAACGAGAUCUUCGGAUCUAGUGGCGCACGGGUGCGUAACGCGUGGGAAUCUGCCCUUGGGUUCGGAAUAACUUCUGGAAACGGAAGCUAAUACCGGAUGAUGACGUAAGUCCAAAGAUUUAUCGCCCAAGGAUGAGCCCGCGUAGGAUUAGGUAGUUGGUGAGGUAAAGGCUCACCAAGCCGACGAUCCUUAGCUGGUCUGAGAGGAUGAUCAGCCACACUGGGACUGAGACACGGCCCAGACUCCUACGGGAGGCAGCAGUAGGGAAUAUUGGACAAUGGGCGAAAGCCUGAUCCAGCAAUGCCGCGUGAGUGAUGAAGGCCUUAGGGUUGUAAAGCUCUUUUACCCGGGAUGAUAAUGACGGUACCGGGAGAAUAAGCUCCGGCUAACUCCGUG